AUUGAACGCUGGCGGCAGGCCUAACACAUGCAAGUCGAGCGGUAGAGAGAAGCUUGCUUCUCUUGAGAGCGGCGGACGGGUGAGUAAUGCCUAGGAAUCUGCCUGGUAGUGGGGGAUAACGUCCGGAAACGGACGCUAAUACCGCAUACGUCCUACGGGAGAAAGCAGGGGACCUUCGGGCCUUGCGCUAUCAGAUGAGCCUAGGUCGGAUUAGCUAGUUGGCGGGGUAAUGGCUCACCAAGGCGACGAUCCGUAACUGGUCUGAGAGGAUGAUCAGUCACACUGGAACUGAGACACGGUCCAGACUCCUACGGGAGGCAGCAGUGGGGAAUAUUGGACAAUGGGCGAAAGCCUGAUCCAGCCAUGCCGCGUGUGUGAAGAAGGUCUUCGGAUUGUAAAGCACUUUAAGUUGGGAGGAAGGGCAGUAAAUUAAUACUUUGCUGUUUUGACGUUACCGACAGAAUAAGCACCGUAAU
rnacentral:rRNA from 1 species